AGCAGCUCUUGCAUGGCCACAAAGAGCAGUGCAUUGUGAUAGCUAUCCCAGCAUACAUGUGGCUGCAAUAUGCCUUUCAAAUGGGAGUGUGGGGGUCAUUG